CUGAUCAAACAAUUUCGAAUGCUUUCUCCAAGUCCAUAAAGCACAUGUAGACUGGUUGGGCGAGCUCCCAUGUAUCCUCGAGGACCCUGCGAAGGGUGUAGAGCUGGUCCACUGUUCUACGGCCGGGACUAAAAACACACUGCUCCUCCUGAAUCUGAGACUUGACUUCCCGA